UGGGGAAUUUUGGACAAUGGGCGAAGCCUGAUCCAGCCAUGCCGCGUGCAGGAUGAAGGCCUUCGGGUUGUAAACUGCUUUUGUACGGAACGAAAAGACUCUGGUUAAUACCUGGGGUCCAUGACGGUACCGUAAGAAUAAGCACCGGCUAACUACGUGCCAGCAGCCGCGGUAAUACGUAGGGUGCAAGCGUUAAUCGGAAUUACUGGGCGUAAAGCGUGCGCAGGCGGUUAUAUAAGACAGAUGUGAAAUCCCCGGGCUCAACCUGGGAACUGCAUUUGUGACUGUAUAGCUAGAGUACGGCAGAGGGGGAUGGAAUUCCGCGUGUAGCAGUGAAAUGCGUAGAUAUGCGGAGGAACACCGAUGGCGAAGGCAAUCCCCUGGGCCUGUACUGACGCUCAUGCACGAAAGCGUGGGGAGCAAAACAGGAUUAGAUACCCUGGUAGUCCACGCCCUAAACGAUGUCAACUGGUUGUUGGGUCUUCACUGACUCAGUAACGAAGCUAACGCGUGAAGUUGACCGCCUGGGGAGUACGGCCGCAAGGUUGAAACUCAAAGGAAUUGACGGGGGUCAUAGCU
rnacentral:rRNA from 1 species